CAAGUUAACUUUUGUUCUGUUUCUGUCAUGAUGGGUACCAGUUUCUUAAUCCACAUGCAGAACACCGGGAGAACGGGACAUCAGAUAAAUAAAGUUUAUUGAACAAUAUGAAAAGGCUGGUGAAAGGGUCUGGUCCUUGGAAGGGCACACGGGAUCGUCUGCACACUGAAGAGCAGCAAAGGAAGAUGGAGGCGAUGGCUACCUGACAGCAUCAGGAUUCCAAAUUAGAAGAUUUUGAGUGCUGCUAAAGUCAUGCUUCUCGGUGUACAAGAGGAGCAAAUGCACCAGAGAAGCACCAUCUUUGACAGUAUCGCCAUUAAUGUGUUUCGUUGGCUUAUCUUCUCUUCACCUGAUCUCGGUUUCGCCCGUGUACGUCUGGGAACGAAGCCGGUUUUCAUCUCCGGAGCUCAUUGCCGUGCUGCUGCCGACAUCCUUUGCUUUUCCCUCUGGAUUUAUGUUUGGACUCUUAUUGGAUUUUCUGGCCUGCAGCCCCGUUCCUUAUUAAUUCAUUUGUUACAGUGUUUGUUCUUUGUUUACCCGGCUCCUGUGUGCUCUCGUUAGUGUCCUUAAUUAAACUCAAGUCUGACAAAUCGCUGCAUUUUCCUGUUUAGUUCGUCCUCAUUCCCCCGUCUUUAGAACCCUUCUACUAUACAGUCCA